GUAUUUUGAAUUAUUUUAUUCGUAAUAUUUUUCAGACAAAGAGUUAAAGAGUUGGUUGAUGUUUGGUCGUUCCCAUAGAAGAGAACGACUGACAUUGCACACAAGGUGGAUAUGGAUUUAAAAAGUGCCAUAAAACACUUAUUAUGAAUGAUCCUUCCGCAGGUUCACCUACGGAAA
rnacentral:misc_RNA from 1 species